GGUGGUUCCACCAGUUUGCAGAGGCACCCUGGGCAGAUGCAAGAACAAGGAGUUAAUCCACGGAGAAGCACAGCUUCUCUACUGAACACUAAAAGGUUGACUUGCCAAGAGGGCCAAGUAAGGCUGUAGCAGGACUGGUAACAGAGCAGCAUAAGCCUUUCACUAAGUGCCUCCAGCUGUUGUAGUGUUCUGCCCUUGGUCCAAAGAUGAGCCUUCACGAAUGUUUCACUGAAAUCUGGCUGGCUACCACCUGAUCACAGUGAUGGAGAUCUCUCUUUAUGAGUCAUACGGUAUUAACGGGGAGCAAUUCAACUGCAGCUUCUGCCUGGCCACCUGGAAAGUAUUUUUGUCUGCCUACAGCUUUCCUGCCAGCAGCCUAUUUGUUGUCUAAUCAUGCUCAUGCAUACUCUGUCAUGACUUUUCCAGGAAGAGAUCAUCUCCUCUAUCUCUGGACUUAACAGCCUUGCUUGCUUCUGGGCUGGAUGGAAAGCAGAGGCUGGAACUGAAUGGAAAUGCAAUCACGUUAGAACACGGUUGUUGCUCACAACUGUGCUACUGAUCUUCCAGUUCACUGCUGCCUCAAGCCCGUGUCAUGAAGGAAAUGCUGGCAGUAAGGAAGUGCAUUACCUUCACUGGGAGUAGCUAAGAAGUAAUACACAUAUACGUAACUGAUCUAGAUAGAGAAGGGGCCUUUUCAGUAUAGUCUCGGAGCAGCAGAGAGAAUGUCAUCUCCUGAAUACUCUUGCCAUCAGUGGACAGAAAGCUAUGGUGACAAAGGAAUUGCUUUUUAAUUAGGUACUUCUCAUACAUCUCCUUAACUAAUAGGUCCUGAGUGCAAGCCACUGCCUGAUAUUUGGAAUUAUCCUCAGUGCUGUGUUGGAGGAGAUGGAGAGAAAAAGGCAGAAGAUAUGCUCUGAGAAGUGCCAUGUGGUGUUUACACCUGACCUCUCGACUUUGUGGUCUAUUGGCCAGAUGGGAAAAGCCACUCAUUCAGCGGUUUCUUUGGAAGGGGGCAGGAACACCAAAAUCCGUCUCAGCACUUUCAGGAAAAUAAUGGAGAAUAACUGCAGAGCUGGUGACCACAAGCAAAUGCAGAAACCUGUAACAAAAAUCUCAAGAGAAUUCCCUCCUGGGAAAAAGCUAAAAAGAUCCUUGUUUUAAAGCCUCAAUCUCGCCCUCUUCACAGAAGCUGCUUUGAAACAGGCUCCUAUUUAACCCUUUCUUGUGCUUGGCUGCUAUUAACUCUGCAUGGCAGAAGCUACCCACUGAAGAGGAGAAGACGUGGGACACUCGGGCCAUGAAAUCAGAACUCCAGGCCCAGCCUAAAAACAAGGGACAAAGGCAAACAGCAGGACUCGAGCAGAGCCCAGCAAUCUCUACCGACCAAUCUUCCAGAUGCUGCAAACCGCCAUGGAUCAACGGAGCUGACUGCCAAGGAUUUGCAUCAGUCUGUACCAGCCUUUUUUGCUCCUUGGCGCUAAAGCAGCGAGAGGGAUGAGCUGAAUGUACAGCAGGUGUUAAGAGAGAUGGGGAGAGAGAGGCAGACAGCGGGCUGUACAAAGACUGACUCACUUCUCAGGAACCACAAGGAAGGAAAUGAUCUGUCAGAGGCUGCUGCUGAGAGCUUGGAGGCAACCAGGUGUGUGUCUGUGCGUAGGU